rnacentral:rRNA from 1 species
UACGGGGGGGGCAAGCGUUGUUCGGAAUUACUGGGCGUAAAGGGUUCGUAGGUGGCCAACUAAGUCAGACGUGAAAUCCCUCAGCUUAACUGGGGAACUGCGUCUGAGACUGAUUGGCUCGAGGACAGGAGAGGAACGCGGAAUUCCAGGUGUAGCGGUGAAAUGCGUAGAUAUCUGGAGGAACACCGGUGGCGAAGGCGGCGUUCUGGACUGUUUCUGACACUGAAUAACGAAAGCCAGGGGAGCAAACGGG